UGCUACGUGACUUGUCCAGUGUACGUGACCGUUUAGCAAUAACAGGAAACAUCUGGUGUAGGGAGUGAAGGGUCUUCAGGGUCCGAUGUACUGGAAUGUUCUUGGAUUACGGGAAUUGAUACUUGGAUUUCCAGUAAAUCCAACUGCUUUGACGCAUGAUGCUCGUCAUCAACUGUUAUAAAUACAACUGUUCAUCUGUUGUUCUGGGGAGAUCGGCUUUGGAAGUGUGAUAAUGCUCACCUUCCCCACAUGUAUACAAUCACUAUUUUGACAUCUACUGGGACUUUGCAGUCGUUUGUCCCCCACCUCAAAUUACGAACCAUGACAGUUUUGGUGCCGAAAACCCGGUUUGAGGAGGGACUUUGGUUGGUGGUUUGGCUGAGGUCCAGUGGUGUCAAAUAGACGGACAGGAGUCCGGCAGGUCGACUGAGGGACGGGGGCCCUUAAUAGAAAGACACAGAGUGCAGUUCCUGAAGCACAAGCAUGAACAUCAACAGUGGACAGAAGUCCAAGAGACAACACCAGAGACCUGAGCAGAGAGGUCCAGCAGCACUAUGGGCAAACGGCAUCAGAAAGAGAAGAUCCACCAUCUAGAUUGGAUGAAUGGAGAUGAGUUUCCAGCAAGCUGCAACCUCACUGUGAAGGACCUUUGAGAAGUCUGUCGGAGUUUGACAUUUGCCAUGUUUGGAGCAAGAUGGCAAUGAAAGAAACAGUGGGACAAAGAGAUACGCGGGACAAAGCUGAAGAAGACUGCAUGCUAUUGGGCUGUAUAGUGGGGGAGAUGAACGGAGAGAAUGGAGCAGGUGAGGACAGAGGCUGCUGUUUUAGUGUGGGGAAUCAAAUUGGGUUAGAGAAUCCAGGGAGACAGACGACUGCCUGAAAGUGGAGGAUUGACAAAGUGUCCAGACCACCACAAAAGGGGGAGGAAGACAAGCACUGAGAUACUGGAACAUCACAGCUCCUCACAAACUCAGGAUAUGGAAGAAGAUGAACUUUUCCAGUCACUCGCUGGGAUACAUCAUUCAAUUAUUCUGGAUCCUCAGGAAACAUUGAUUUAUUUUUGUAUUUCAUAUAUUUGUUUGUCCAGAUCAAAGAUUUAUGUUAGUAGAGAAGAAGUCACCAUGAUAAAGCCUGUGUGUGAAAAUAAGAUCAGUGAAUUUUGUUGAUCAAAAUCACAUUUAAGGAGGAAUUCUGUCCUCCAGUUUGUUUAAAUAAGCUUUGGGAUUAAACACCAUCAUCUAUGUUUGUGUCUGAUGACAUGUUUGAUCCAGUUCAGCUUGAACAUCACAGCUGAUGUGUGAACUCUGACAUAUUUAAGCCUCGAUUAUCAGGAUGAUUCAAACACAUCUGUUUAAAUCACGAGAUUUAUGUUUCCACACAAAGUUAUAAAGUGCAGCAUCGACUGUUUUCUGAAUGAUUCAGGAACAUCUGUGACUCUUACAGGAUACACUAAGUCAGAUAAUCUCUCUUUGUAAAAUGUCUGAAUGACUUUUUGAAGUACUGACCAAAAUCUGCUGGUU